GCAUCGAUGAAGAACGCAGCGAAAUGCGAUAACUAAUGUGAAUUGCAGAAUUCAGUGAAUCAUCGAGUCUUUGAACGCACAUUGCGCCCGCUGGUAUUCCGGCGGGCAUGCCUGUCCGAGCGUCA
rnacentral:rRNA from 2 species